GACGAACGCUGGCGGCGUGCCUAAUACAUGCAAGUCGAGCGAGUCUGCCUUGAAGAUCGGAGUGCUUGCACUCUGUGAAACAAGAUACAGGCUAGCGGCGGACGGGUGAGUAACACGUGGGUAACCUGCCCAAGAGAUCGGGAUAACACCUGGAAACAGAUGCUAAUACCGGAUAACAACAGAUGAUGCCUAUCAACUGUUUAAAAGAUGGUUCUGCUAUCACUCUUGGAUGGACCUGCGGUGCACUAGCUAGUUGGUAGGGUAACGGCCUACCAAGGCGAUGAUGCAUAGCCGAGUUGAGAGACUGAUCGGCCACAUUGGGACUGAGACACGGCCCAAACUCCUACGGGAGGCAGCAGUAGGGAAUCUUCCACAAUGGACGCAAGUCUGAUGGAGCAACGCCGCGUGAGUGAAGAAGGGAUUCGGCUCGUAAAGCUCUGUUGUUGGUGAAGAAGGACAGGGGUAGUAACUGACCUUUGUUUGACGGUAAUCAAUUAGAAAGUCACGGCUAACUAAGUG
rnacentral:rRNA from 1 species